CAGAACCUUACUACCCUUGACAUGUCUAGUAUGGUUUCCAGAGAUGGAUUCCUUCAGUUCGGCUGGCUAGAACACAGGUGCUGCAUGGCUGUCGUCAGCUCGUGUCGUGAGAUGUUGGGUUAAGUCCCGCAACGAGCGCAACCCUCAUCCUUAGUUGCCAUCACGUUUGGGUGGGCACUCUAAGGAAACUGCCGGUGGCAAGCCGGAGGAAGGUGGGGAUGACGUCAAGUCCUCAUGGCCCUUACGGGUAGGGCUACACACGUGCUACAAUGGCAGUGACAAUGGGAUAAUCCCAAAAAGCUGUCUCAGUUCGGAUUGUCGUCUGCAACUCGACGGCAUGAAGGUGGAAUCGCUAGUAAUCGUGGAUCAGCAUGCCACGGUGAAUACGUUCCCGGGCCUU
rnacentral:rRNA from 1 species